UACGGGGGGAGCAAGCGUUGUUCGGAUUUACUGGGCGUAAAGGGCGCGUAGGCGGCGUGACAAGUCACUUGUGAAAUCUCCGGGCUUAACCCGGAGCGGCCAAGUGAUACUGUCGUGCUAGAGUGCGGAAGGGGCUACUGGAAUUCUCGGUGUAGCGGUGAAAUGCGUAGAUAUCGAGAGGAACACCUGCGGCGAAGGCGGCUACCUGGCCCAACAUUGACGCUGAGACCCGAAAGCAUGGGGAUCAAACAGG
rnacentral:rRNA from 1 species